UCCGUAGGCGGGCAAUUAAGUCAGAGGUAAAAUCCCACAGCUCAACUGUGGAACUGCCUUUGAUACUGGUUGUCUUGAGUUACAGUGAAGUAGAUAGAAUAUGUAGUGUAGCGGUGAAAUGCAUAGAUAUUACAUAGAAUACCGAUUGCGAAGGCAGUCUACUAACUGUAUACUGACGCUAAUGGACGAAAGCGUGGGGAGCGAACAGGAUUAGAUACCCUGGUAGUCC
rnacentral:rRNA from 1 species